UGUCAAGGUCUGCUCUUGCACAUAUUCUCUCAGCCUUAUAGGAGUUGUCGUCCUCGCUUUGUGUCAUUUAAUUCCUCCGGAGGAGCAUCAGGUUCGCUUUCGGUCCAGGUGCAAAACGGUUCAAAAGGGGGAGGGAAGCGAAACAGAAGUGCCACCACGUGUGUCCUUUUCUCCACCAUUCCUUCCACGUUCUUUUUGGGUCACUUCUGAAUGAGCCCUUCUCUUGGCUCGGCUGGUUUGGAGGGUCUGUCUUCGGAUCAAGACAGAGGGCAAAUCCAGAUCCCCGAGCAAAGUACGGCUGGUUUUCCUCUGGUUUGAGACAGGCGUUCUGUGUGCCAUGUCCAGGGCACUGUUCCACUCGCACGCCACAGCUUGAAGUGGUGGUCCCAGGCUCCUAGGCUGGUCAAUGCUGAGUGGUCAUGCUCAAACACUCACCAGGUAAGUUAAUGAUCUGCUUGCUGAUUGGACCAGGAAAUGGAUUUAUCGCCAGGCAACCCAGCAAUUCAGAAGCAUCUCAGGACUAUUUGCAAGGUACAUUUUUCUAUAUUCAAACAGUGUAGCACAUUCAGCGGUCUUUCACUCUUUCUUCUGGGAGCAGUGGUGUAGCGCCAAUGGAGGGGGAUGUGAUGCCCCGGGGAUGCACUGGGGUGGGGGCAGGGGUGGGGUGGGGUGGGAGGCGCCACGGCAGGGGCGCAGAGCAUGCGUGUGCCCCGGGCACAGUUCCUUCUCGCUCCGCCCCUGGCUGGGAGUCCUGCUCCCCUAGAAAGAGCCUUUACAUCCUCUCACAGGUUCGCCUCCAGUCAUAUAAUAAACAAAUAAACAUCCAGUCAUAUAAUAAACAAAUAAACUUUAACUCUGUCCUAUUUCCAAGCUUCAUUACAUCCACACUAUUUAACUCAGCCUUAUGGGAAUUGUAGUUUCCCAUCAAUGUCCUCUAUUUGUCUGAAAGACUGUCAAUUUUGUCUUCUGUAAAAAGGGCCAAGGCACCUUGAAGGGAGCAGGAAAUGAGAUCGAAGCAUCACAGCUGGGAAGCUGUGUAGCAACUGCUCCGGGGGCAGUCAGCAGCGAGGCCAACGGAUCUGAGGCUCAGCUCAGGAGCAAUCACGGUUGUGGAAGCUGCGAAACAACAUCGGGAAGGAUGUCCGGAUGAGACCUGCGUCUUGGCCAACAGAAUCUUCUCUGCCGCAGAAGCAAUUCCUUCGUCAUGAUGCAUCCAACACUUUCCUGACUGCCUCCUCAAGGUCUUCUGACUGCGGAAGGAGAGAACUCUCUCAGAAGAAUCUACUGAAGAACUUCCUGGCAGCUGGAGCAGUUCCUCGGUGGGAACAGGCUUAGGGGCUCUCCUUCUUUGGAGGUUUUAGACCAGAGCCCAGAUGCUGAUGCUGUGGACAUAGGCAGGUCAAGAGAUGGAGGGCCGGAGGGGAUGAGUCAGUCCUUGGUCCUCCUGGCCCUUUCUCAUGUGGCCAGGGCAUUUUGGGGUCAGGAAGGAAUUUUCCUCCAGGCCAGAUGGGUCAGGGAUCCUGGAGGUUUUGUGCCUUCUUCUAGGCAUAGAGCAGGGGUCACUCAAGGGAACAGGGGAGAGGUAGCUGUGAAUUUUCUGAGUUGUGUAGGCGAUUGGACUAGAUGACCCCUAAAGUCCCUUCCAGCUCUGUGUUUCCAAAGGCCAGCCUUUCCAGAAAAACAAUCACUGCCUUUCUGCAGAGGAGCUUGACUCUCACUCGCCAGGACUAUCUCCUCACUGUAGUGGUUGUUGUAAUUUAGAAACAUCCUUAUAGGAACAUAAAGGAUGGGAAUUUGCAGAAGAUCCCUGCUGGUUCCAGUGCAAAAGGACUCGGAGAGCAUUCAGGGGGACCUAGGGAAUACUUUGUUUGUUUGGCAAUAAACUAAUACAUUUACUUUUA